rnacentral:rRNA from 1 species
UACGUAGGGCGCAAGCGUUGUCCGGAAGUAUUGGGCGUAAAGGGCGCGUAGGUGGCGUCGCAAGUCAACGGUGAAAGCUCGACGCUUAACGUCGAGUCGGCCGUCGAGACUGCGAGGCUCGAGCACUGUAGAGGCUCAUGGAAUUCCGGGUGUAGCGGUGGAAUGCGUAGAGAUCCGGAAGAACACCGGUGGCGAAGGCGGUGAGCUGGGCAGUUGCUGACACUGAGGCGCGACAGCGUGGGGAGCAAACAGG